AGUUCUUAGACCACUAAAUUCUAAAGACAUCGAUCACUUCACAUGCAAGCAAACCCCACAUACCCACUAAUUAAUACAACUUAAAUUUACUCAGCCUUCUCCACCGGCUCUUCCUUGACAACUUUCUCCUCGGCAGCAUCAGCAGCUGGCUUCUCUUCCUCAACAGCUUCAGGCUUCUCUUCUUCCUUAACCACUACCUCUUCUUUAGGAUCUUCAGCCGCUGGUUCCGAUACCGGCUCCGGGGCAAUUGGUUCGGCAGAAGGAGCCUCAGCAGAGUCGUCAAUAUUCAAUUUCUCCUUAGUCUCCUCUACAAGUUCUGGCUCAGCAGUCUUCUCUACUGUUGGUUCUUCUGCUUCUUCUUUGGCCACAACAUCUUCCUUCGCCUCCUCCACCACCUUCACCUCCUUUGUCUCAACCUCAACUGGGGUGGUUUCAUCAGCUUCUGCAGCCUCAGCCUUAGGAACUUCACCAGAAGCCACAACAGUCUCUGCCUCCUUUGGCUCUUCUGCAACAGCCUCUGCCUCAGCUGCGCAUGCUGCUACUUCUGUCACUACUUCUUGUGCCUUAAUUGGUUCCUCAUGAGUUGUGUCCUCCACAGGGAGGGCUGUCUUUGCUGAUACAACCUGCAAGAUUAUUAUAUAUUUAUAGUACUCUCUAAUGUUAAUUAACACUUAAUUAAAGGAUCAAAAUCUCAAUUAGUUAUUACAUUUGCAAGAGAGAGCUUGAAUUGAUCAUAAGCACAAAUCUAUGUAAACUCUAGAAAUGAAAGGUGAGUUAAUACCUGAGCAGUGGCCAUGGGAAUUGAAAAGGUGAGGAAGAAAUUGAAGUAAAAAACAAGAAGACUGAUCAAAGAUAGGCAAACUUAAGAGUAAGAAAUGAAAAGAACAGAAGUCAAUGGUUGCAAUGAAAAAAUAUGAUCAAUUGGGAUUGGUUUAUAUAGAGGCCUAGAGGCCUUCUCUCACUGCCUUAGGUCGAUGCAUGAGACAGAGGGCCCAUGGGGUGGUGGAACUUGGGGAAUCUUGGGAUUUGACACCUCAUCUCUCUCUCUCUCUCUCUCUCUCUCUCUCUCUCUACAUUCAAGGGAUUGGGUAAUAAUGUUACACAAAAAGUUUUUGGAUCGAUCUUAGGUUUAAAGAAAAUGUCUAAAUUAAUUAAUGGCUAGUUGAAAAUUUGUAAUCUUUGGAUUGGAGGGGUAUCAAAUAAUGGAGGAGGCCAUAUUAUUUUUCCAUGCAAGCCAUCAUUCUUCUUUUGGUUAUGUGUGCUCCUGUGCUUUGUGCAGUCGGGCUUGCAGGGUUACAUUACCAUCCUGUCCACUCAUAUGCAUCUUCAAAUCUUAAUUAAGUAAUUACUAAUUACUUAAUUACAACUGGUUUUGCCUCUCAUCAUCAUUGCCCUUUUUCUGUUCCUAUGUCAAUUUCUACCAUGCAUGUUACUAUUCGAUCUACUUCAGCGUAUAGGGGUAGGGUAAAUAUUAUUUGGCAUUUUGCUUCCUAUUUCAAUUAAAUUCUUGCAAGAAAAUGAACCCUUUUUUCCCUUGAAUUAUUGACUAUAUACACCCUUGCAUUGCAUGCCAAGACAUUGUAGUUAUUAUUAGGCAUAUUUACCUCUUUUUUUAUAACUAUUUUAUGCAUCAGUCUUAAGUCUCUUCUCUAAAAUUUAAAAAUAACAGUAUCGUAGAUAAUAAAAGAUUAGACGAGCAUAACUAUACACCAAGAAUCAGUCAUCAAACUACCAAAGCAACCUCAACUUUCUUUUUAUAACAUAACAAUAUCGAGAGUAAUAAAAGAUUAAACAAGCAUAACUAUAUACAUCAGGGAUCAAUCAUCGAAUUACCAAAGCAACCUACCAUCUCUUCCCACAAAGCAAUUAGAGGGAACCUAGCUCCCAAUUGAAUGCCUCCCUCCCUCCCUCCCAAAACCUAGAAUUUAACAAGUAGACAAAUUGUGAAGAAUCAUGCUUAUUGCGUAACAUCAACGUCCAAGUCACUAAAAGAUACAAAACGUUAGGCCGGCGUUAGAUUAUGGGACCCUAACAACCAAUGGCCACAAUUUGCUUCUCAGAAUUGAAUAAAAUUCUGACGUGGAUCACAUCCUGAUAUGUUCCAUCACCUUGUCCCUCCUCUACACCAAGUGUGACCCGAAGCUAGCUGGUGGACCCCAAUUAUUAGGCGACAAAUUUUGAACUCUCAAGACCAAUUGUGACCUAACUUUCCCUAGCCUCCUUGGCUGAAUUGGAACACAGUCAUACAUGAUGCUCCUAUACGUAAUCAGCUCAAUUUGUCUUACAACAUUUAGGUGCCUCCACUAUUUAACGAACUAACAUUCAAUUUAGUAUAAAACCCCAAUUUUAACAUACUAAAAUUCUUAAUACGAUAUAUCAAAAGUUUUACACACACGUGAAUGACUAACAUGAACAUUCACGUGUACAAGUAAAAUUUUUAUUCAUUGUAUAUGGAGGUUAUAAAUGUGAUCUCUAUUCAUCCAUGCUAAAGUUUUCACUAAUAUUCAUGACAUUCUUUGUGUCAUUUGACUCAAAAACCAAGUGGGACAGUAAAAAUAUUCUUUCGAGUUAAAAAUCCAAGAACAAAUCUACCCCGUGAUCCAUGCAAUUGAAACUCCGUACGCUGGCAGGCGAUCAUGGCUUUGGGAUUUGCUUUGUAAACAUUUGCAACCAUGAUUGAAUAUCCUACCGUUAACAAAGUCCUACGUGCCGUUUCAUUCAGACUUUCAUGAGUUUGAGAUCCUUGUUAGGGCAAAGAGCCCUACACAAAAAAGGGUACCCUCCUCCCUCCUCCCUCCUCCCUCCUCCCUCCUCCAACUUUUCCAAGCUGUCAUGUAUGGACGGAUGACUUUUUAGCCUUUAGGUAGGUUUUUCAGUUUGGGCGGUGGGGUGGCCCACCAAAGCGGAGCCCGCAAAAAAUUCCCAGUACCUCUACUGUAUCCUAGUGCCAAUGAGGUCACGACACGUGGCAAACACUUUGCCGACUACGUGGUGGGAUGUGGCUCUCUGUCAGCAUUGGACAUGAUUUGGUACUACUUUAGGGUUCAACCCCAAUUCGGGGGGUCCAUGUGAUAAAUCAUGAAUAAUGAAUAUGUGACAGGUUGGGGGUCAUGAAAAGCUUUCGAUUUGGAUCUGAAUGCUUAAUUUUGUUCAUAUAUAAAUAGCAGCAGUGAUUUUGAAUACGCAAUUUUAUUCUUUGCACUGCAAUCCAAAUUGCUUUGGAUCCACCAGCCUCUGCAACUUGUGGACAAAUCUAGAGAAAAAUGGGGGUGUUUUUUUUAUGAGGAAAAAGAAAUUACACGGACAUAGACUCAUGGGGCACGCAGUCCCGAAGAGUUCAAGGUAAAAGGAGAAAAUUGGGGUUGUUCUACAUGUUUCUGUCACUUGGUAUUUAUAUAUAUUAUGUUCUCAUCAUCAAAAGAAGAAAAAAAUAGAGUUGGUCUUGUGCACUUGGUGUUAAGAAUUUAAGCCAAUUCUCAUGUAUUGAAAUAUGAAAUGUAGAAAAGGAACAGGAAAAUCAACAAGUCAAUAUAAUUAAUCCCACAAGAAAGUUAGGUUUGUUUGGUUCAUUCUCAACUAGGAUAUGUUCAUGGAGUUACCAUGGAGAUGGAGCUACCCCUAAUUUUUACUGUAAAGGAGACGAGGAAUAUUACCAUCACUUUUGGAUUGAUGCAUAGUCUAUUUUUUAUGUAUAAUAUUUUAUAUAGUAAGAGUUUAUAUAAGAUCAUCUUAUUUCUACGCAAUACACCAAUGAUUGAAAUCAUUAUUCAUACAAAAAAUAAAUAAAUUAUUUAGUCAUUUAAUUAUCCACAAUUUUGUUUCAGUUUUGUUUAAUGAACUGUGUUCUUUUUCACAGUUUAUAUAACUUCGGAUCACAUAUAACUUUUUUUUACAAUAAGGACAUACUUAAAAUAUAAAACUGAAUCUGUUAUUCAUAUUCUUAGGGACUGUCCCAAGGCUAUGAUGGUAUAUAAUUCUGUUUUAAAUUUACACUCUUCUCCUCAUUUCUUCCUCUCUGAGCUAAAACCUUGGUUCUUAGGCAAUCUUCUCUCUAAGGUUAAAGGCCGUGAUGGUAUUGAAUGGAAUGUUAUUUUUGCCAUUACAUGUUGGUAUAUAUGGAAUUGUCGUAACAAGAAGAUUUUUAAUCUUGAAGUGGAUAUGCCUUUUAAUCUCAGGAAAACCAUUUUUACUGCGGUUGUUGACUGGGUUAAAGCAGCUAAUGGCUUUGGCGAGAAACUUAACAGAAUACAUAUUUUUUUGGCUUGGGAACCUCCUACAAUUGGCCAACUUAAGCUGAAUGUGGAUGGUUCUAGAAGAGCUGCAACUAAUAUUAUUGGAGCAUGAGGUGUUAUUCGGGACUCCUCAGGUGACUGGAUUGCCGGUUUUGCAGUGAAUUUGAGCCAAGGUCAUAUCUUGGAGGCUGAUGUUUAGAGUCUAUAUUUUGGUCUAAAGCUUGUUGUUGAGAAAGGAAAAAGAAUUGUGUUGUGGAUUGUUUGGCAAAUUGGAGUUAUAAUAUGGACCUGGAAAUUUGCUUCUUUGAUGAGGCUCUUGUUUGGGUUAGCUCUCUGUUGGUGGAUGACUUGCUUGGUUUUGCUAGGCCUCGACUCAUGCGCGGUGUUUAGUUAUUUUUUUGGGGGUUUCCCCCCUAUUUCACCAAAAAAUCACUACUACAAAAAACAAAAUAGACUACGGUAAUCUACCUUCGUUGUGAUGCUUUGAAAACCGUCGUUAAAUUGACCGCCAUCUUUUGGAGUAUCAAACUAUGACGGCUUUUUACCGUCGUUGUUUUGAUAUAAAGACGAUGGUCUUUUAUUAAAAACCGUCAUUGUUUACGGGUAAAGCCGACAGUUUAUAAAAAACCGUCGUUAUUUAUGGGUAAAGACGACAGUAUUUUCUUAAAAUCGUCGUCAUUUAUGGGCAAAGACGACAGUAUUUUCUUAAAACCGUCAUCAUUUAUGAGUAAAGACGUCGAUAUUUUGUUAAAAACGCCAUUCAUUGUAUAUAAAUGUAACACCCCGACCCCGAAUUUAACCCUUAUUUAAUUAUUUAAUUAUUUAAGGGCAUUUUGGUCAUAUUUUUAACCAGAGACAGUUUGGGACAGUGAUUAGUAUUUUUGGAUAGGUCGUACUGAGACGAGUUCAUAGACACGUAGUGGGCUCGAAUCGGAGUUGUAACGAGAGAGAUAUGGUCAAAAGAAGCCCAGUGGCACAAUCGUAAAUAUUUCGAAAUGGGAUUUUUUAUAAAAAUCUGGUUUUCUCUCUCUCUCUCUCUCUCUCUCUCUCCCGCGACCUCUCCCUCUCUCCCGUCAGCUCUCCCUCUCUCUCUCCUCGUAACUCCGGCCACCGGCCACGGCUGUGGACGGAGCCGGUACCAAAAUGACCGGGGCGUCGUCCUCUUCCAGCCCCAGCCGUCUCCCGCCUCCAGCCGCCGCGGUUUCGCCAGAAAAUGAAGGAGAAGAGGCCGGCGUCGUCCGAUCUUCGCCGCCGUCGAUCUCCCUCCUCCGGCCACCAAAUCCGACGAGCAAGGUAUGAUUUCUCACCUAUUUUUCAUGCUCUAGCUGCCAGUUGUGGAUAUUAAAUGCGUUUUUAUGCAGGUUGAAAUUUUAGGAAAUGUCCAAUUUAUAGGGGAGACUCUGCCAAAAUUUCGGUAGGAAGUCUCGGUCUUUAGUGAUUGGGUCUGACAUCGGAGUGAUGUCAGGAAUUCCAAAGGGUUCGUCUCGGGUUUUGAGAAAAUUCGGGGCGGGUCCUUAAAGUUGGUAUCAGAGCUCUAGGUUCAAUUCCCUGUGGACCCUGCACUUUAUGUGCAUCCUUAAAUUGUGGGGAUCAAAAUGGGUUCCAUCUCGGAAUGGUACAUUUGCGACGUUGAGGACGUCACAAAAGUCAAAUUAUUUCACAGAGGAAAGAUACAUAGGCCGCCGGAGCAUAGGAAGGGCUGGAGCUUUACCACAGACAGUGGUUGUUUCAGAAGUUCCGGAAGAUUGCGAAUAGAAGCCGAAGGUUUUGCAUAGGGUAACACCUGUACUUAGGGUACAGUUGGAUGUUCCUAUGACAAAGUUGUUCAUGUGUCCGCAUAAGCGGGGGGAUAUGGAGUUGAUCAACCUGCUUCUAGGGAUCCUCCAUUGCCUGAACAUGUUGCUAAUUUUCAACUGUGUGCCUAGAGCACCGAGUCGAAGCUACUAAGAGCACAACCUUUCUCUAGGAGGAGCAACUCCUUGACAUUGGAUCAAGGGAUCCAAGAUCUGAAAGGUGGCGUUAGAAUAAUCGAAAUCACAAGUGUCUCUUACAGAAAGAGGCUCGUGUGUGGUAGGAAUACUGUGGUCAAGUCUAAGGACGAGACCCAGAUGGAUUAAGAAAUCCUACCUAUGGAGAUGGAGAGAGUACUUUGGGGUCUCAUCUCACGUGAGCACGUUUGAGUAGAGAUCUUUCAUUGGAAUCAGAAAUGGAUCAUGGUCGAGAGAGAUCGACGAUGAUUACAAUUCGGUAAAAAUGAUCCUUUCUGACAUUUCUCUCAAAGAAUCAUGUUGGCAAAUUAAAGGGAAAAGUAGUGGAGUUGGGUGGAACCGUACUUCAUUCGCGUAGGCUUGAAUGCCGCGAUUGACAGGAGUGGAACAUUAGGGUUCUUCCUCCUUGCUCUCUCACGUGAGCUCGCCAUAGUUAGAGAAUGAGACUUCUCUUUCUCUGCUUGCUUAGCUAGAGCUUUUGGCUUGGUUGCCAACACGGUUAUGGAGAAAGAACUUGGGAACCCGAGUUGUAGAUGCGGGCCCCAUGCUCACAACCCUUCGAGUGACAGGUAGGAAAUUUCGAGGACGAAAUUUUUAUAAGGGGGGUAGAUUGUAACACCCCGACCCCGAAUUUAACCCUUAUUUAAUUAUUUAAUUAUUUAAGGGCAUUUUGGUCAUAUUUUUAACCGGAGAGAGUUUGGGGCAGUGACUAGUAUUUUUGGAUAGGUCGUACUGAGACGAGUUCAUAGACACGUAGUGGGCUCGAAUCGGAGUUGUAACGAGAGAGAUAUGGUCAAAAGAAGCCCAGUGGCACAAUCGUAAAUAUUUCAAAAUGAGAUUUUUUAUAAAAAUCGGGUUUUCUCUCUCUCUCUCUCUCUCUCUCUCUCUCCCGCGACCUCUCCCUCUCUCCCGUCAGCUCUCCCUCUCUCUCUCCUCGCAACUCCGGCCACCGGCCACGGCUGUGGACGGGGCCGGUACCAAAAUGACCGGGGCGUCGUCCUCUUCCAGCCCCAGCCGUCUCCCGCCUCCAGCCGCCGCGGUUUCGCCGGAAAAUAGAGGAGAAGCGGCCGGCGUCGUCCGAUCUUCGCCGCCGUCGAUCUCCCUCCUCCGGCCACCAAAUUCGACGAGCAAGGUAUGGUUUCUCACCUAUUUUUCAUGCUCUAGCUGCCAGUUGUGGAUAUUAAAUGCGUUUUUAUGCAGGUUGAAAUUUUGGAAAAUGUCCAAUUUAUAGGGGAGACUCUGUCGAAAUUUCGGCAGGAAGUCUCGGUCUUUAGUGAUUGGGUCUGACAUCGGAGUGAUGUCAGGAAUUCCAAAGGGUUCGUCUCGGGUUUUGAGAAAAUUCGGGGCGGGUCCUUAAAAUAAAUAUGACAGUAUUAUGUUAAAAAUGGUCAUUGAUUAUAUGUACAAACGACGAUUUUUCCAAUAAAACCAUCGUUUUAUUAUCUUUAAAUCUGUCGUCUAAUAAGUUCCCAACCU
rnacentral:lncRNA from 1 species